UAAUUAUCUUUCAUCUUUCUCUUACUUCUUUCUUUCUCGAAGAGGUUUAUCAUAACAUUCGUGAUUAUGAUUUUUUUCAAUCUUCUCACUUCGCGGUCUCUAAUUCGCUUGGUGCAGGUCGGGAACCACUACAUCCGCUGUUUUCGUAGAAACCGGCGGUGAAUUGGAUCCCGCCUUGCAUCAACUGAAUCGGAGGCCGCGGUGAAU
rnacentral:lncRNA from 1 species